rnacentral:rRNA from 2 species
AAAUUGAAGAGUUUGAUCAUGGCUCAGAUUGAACGCUGGCGGCAGGCCUAACACAUGCAAGUCGAACGGUAACAGGAAGCAGCUUGCUGCUUCGCUGACGAGUGGCGGACGGGUGAGUAAUGUCUGGGAAACUGCCUGAUGGAGGGGGAUAACUACUGGAAACGGUGGCUAAUACCGCAUAACGUCGCAAGACCAAAGAGGGGGACCUUCGGGCCUCUUGCCAUCAGAUGUGCCCAGAUGGGAUUAGCUUGUUGGUGAGGUAACGGCUCACCAAGGCGACGAUCCCUAGCUGGUCUGAGAGGAUGACCAGCCACACUGGAACUGAGACACGGUCCAGACUCCUACGGGAGGCAGCAGUGGGGAAUAUUGCACAAUGGGCGCAAGCCUGAUGCAGCCAUGCCGCGUGUAUGAAGAAGGCCUUCGGGUUGUAAAGUACUUUCAGCGGGGAGGAAGGUGUUGCGGUUAAUAACCGCAGCAAUUGACGUUACCCGCAGAAGAAGCACCGGCUAACUCCGUGCCAGCAGCCGCGGUAAUACGGAGGGUGCAAGCGUUAAUCGGAAUUACUGGGCGUAAAGCGCACGCAGG